rnacentral:rRNA from 1 species
AUUGAACGCUGGCGGCAUGCCUUACACAUGCAAGUCGAACGGUAACAGGUUAAGCUGACGAGUGGCGAACGGAUGAGUAAUGUAUCGGAACGUGCCCAGUCGUGGGGGAUAACCACUCGAAAGAGUGGCUAAUACCGCAUACGACCUGAGGGUGAAAGCGGGGGACCGUAAGGCCUCGCGCGAUUGGAGCGGCCGAUAUCAGAUUAGCUAGUUGGUGGGGUAAAAGCCCACCAAGGCGACGAUCUGUAGCUGGUCUGAGAGGACGACCAGCCACACUGGGACUGAGACACGGCCCAGACUCCUACGGGAGGCAGCAGUGGGGAAUUUUGGACAAUGGACGCAAGUCUGAUCCAGCCAUGCCGCGUGCGGGAAGAAGGCCUUCGGGUUGUAAACCGCUUUUGUCAGGGAAGAAACGAGUUUCUCUAAUACAGAGACUUAAUGACGGUACCUGAAGAAUAAGCACCGGCUAACUGCGUGCCAGCAGCCGCAGUAAAAC